rnacentral:lncRNA from 1 species
GCCCCGAGUCACAAAAACUAAAAUACUUCUUAGUCUAAGUAGACACUUUCACUAGAUAGGUAGAGGCCUUUCCUACAGGGUCUUUUAAAAACACACCUCACCAAGCUCAGCCACCAACUUAAAAAGAACUGGACAAUAGUUUUACCACUUUCCCUUCUCAGAAGUCAGAUCUGUUCUCAGAAGUCAGAUCUGUCCUCAGAAUGCUACAAGGUA